rnacentral:rRNA from 1 species
CGCAGCCGCGGUAAUUCCAGCUCCAAUAGCGUAUAUUAAAGUUGUUGCAGUUAAAAAGCUCGUAGUUGAAUUUCGGGGUUAGUAGGUUGGUCAUGCCUCUGGUAUGUACUGGUCUCACUGAUUCCUCCUUCCUGAUGAACCUUAAUGCCAUUAAUUUGGUGUUUUGGGGAAUUUGGACUGUUACUUUGAAAAAUUAGAGUGUUUAAAGCAAGCUAACGCUUGAAUACAUUAGCAUGGAAUAAUGAAAUAGGACGUUCGAUCCUAUUUUGUUGGUUUCUAGGAUUGACGUAAUGAUUAAUAGGGAUAGUUGGGGGCAUUAGUAUUCAAUUGUCAGAGGUGAAAUUCUUGGAUUUAUUGAAGACUAACUACCGCGAAAGCAUUUGCCAAGGAUGUUUUCAUUAAUCAAGAACGAAAGUUAGGGGAUCGAAGACGAUCAGAUACCGUCGUAGUCUUAACCAUAAACUAUGCCGACUAGGGAUCGGAUGAUGUUAAUUUUUUAAUGUACUCAUUCGGCGCCUAC